rnacentral:rRNA from 1 species
CCUACGGGAGGCAGCAGUGGGGAAUUUUGGACAAUGGGCGCAAGCCUGAUCCAGCCAUGCCGCGUGUGGGAAGAAGGCCUUCGGGUUGUAAACCACUUUUGUCAGGGAAGAAACGGCCUUUUCUAAUACAGGGGGCUAAUGACGGUACCUGAAGAAUAAGCACCGGCUAACUACGUGCCAGCAGCCGCGGUAAUACGUAGGGUGCAAGCGUUAAUCGGAAUUACUGGGCGUAAAGCGUGCGCAGGCGGCUUUGCAAGACAGAUGUGAAAUCCCCGGGCUCAACCUGGGAACUGCAUUUGUGACUGCAUGGCUAGAGUACGGUAGAGGGGGAUGGAAUUCCGCGUGUAGCAGUGAAAUGCGUAGAUAUGCGGAGGAACACCGAUGGCGAAGGCAAUCCCCUCGGACCUGUACUGACGCUCAUGCACGAAAGCGUGGGGAGCAAACAGGAUUAGAUACCCUGGUAGUCCACGCCCUAAACCGAAUGUCAACUGGUUGUUGGACGGCUUGCUGUUCAGUAACGAAAGCUAACGCGUGAAGUUGACCGCCUGGGGAGUACGGCCGCAAGGUUGAAACUUAAAAGGAAAGUUGACGG